AAAAGGAAAUAAAAUGAGAAGAUGUGAGGUACAGUAACGAGAAAAUCCCUCAUCGUCCUCACUCUCAUCCUCCAUCCUCUCGUCACUCUCGACCACAAACUCACUCAAUCUCGUCGUUCUCUACCGCUCUCGACCACUCUCAAUCUCGCUUCUCUCAUCAAACUCGCGUCCUCUCAAUCUCUCACAUUAGCCUCAAUCGCUCUCACUCUAAAACCUUCGCACCUCUCUCAAUCGCUCGCGCUUCGCUCUCUCACUCUGAACAUGCAAGAAUCCAUGGCUUUAAGGAGAAACAAAAAAAGAGGCUCACCUUCGGUGGUGACGACGGCGACGAUGAAGCUUAAAUCUCACUUCUUCGCCUCUUCAAUCCAGCACAUUAGGGUUUCGGGUUGGCUUAUACAGAUCAAAACAAGUAUCUCUGCGAAGUCCUUUCGGUGGACUCAGUUUGGAUCGGGCCCUUUGAUGCUUGGAUUUGGAAAAGGUCUAUUGUAUUGCUGCAGAAUGGAUGGAGAAUGAUAAUGCAGGUUUAUUUUGGCCGGUGGUUACGUUCUGCAAGUGAGGCUAGGCAGGUGUUUCAAGCACAUCCUCACUUAGUCUUGAAUUAUCCUGCUUGCAGGUUUAUUACAAAGUGAUGCUACAUGAUUGAGCAUGCCACUGUUUAGGCUUGUUUGUUACAGGUUGUGCCUUGCCCUUUAUUAUUUGUUGCAGGUUUUGUUUUUUCAGUUAUCAGUUUGUUACAAGUUGGGUUAUGUUGAAUUUGUUGUAAUUUGGUUACGAUACCGUUUGAGACUGGACAGUGUUGAGAGUGGGAAAUCCAAAAAGAGUUUAUCUUCAGUUGUGUUAAUAAAAUGUGUUAUGGUUGAGUUUUUUUUGCUGUCAUGAUGUUGAUUGUCUUAUGUAUUUUUGUAAGGCUACGCUUGAAGUUCUUUCCAUUGAUUGAUUGGCUACGUGAUGGUUUGUUUUUUAGCAGGGUCAUGGCAUUUGGAUGGUGAUGAAUUGGAAAGCUAUGGACUAUGCCCAUGGAGGAUUGCAAUUGCUGCAAUGUUUUGUUCUUCAUAACCGAAGGUUAUUUUUGAAGUAUACAUCAAAAUGCAUUCGACAUAUAGCGUCUUCAUUGAACCAUCCAUUUCAAAAGUUUUGAGAACGCGACGAGCCAACAGGAGACCGGUGCAAUAGGCUGCAACAUAGUUGGUUGGUGGCUCGAGUUGUAAAACAUGGACAUGGCGGAGAGCAUAUUCAAAUCUGAAGCAAACUCUUAUCUUGAAGUAAAGAGCUCGAUUUAUAACACUACAUGUAGCUGACUAUAAGAGGUUUUGGAACCUGUAAAAUCUUCAAUGCUUUGGAUAGUUACAAUGACCCUCAAUGUAUUAAAAAAAUCUGUUGUAUUUGUGUUUUCUUAAUGUGUGCUUGUAAAUUAGAAUUGUAAUGGAAACAUUUGAAAUUGUGCUUGAAAUUGGGCUACUAUGCAUCUGUGUAAUUGUUAACUGUUAGUGAAUGAUAUGAACUGCAAUGAAUUGUUGGUUCA